GUCAAUACUUCGUGUAAAUGCCUGUGCUUAAACACCAGCUUUGACUCAGAAGAGGACAACGCCGCAGAUCACAGCCCGGAAAGGUGUGCACCCAGUACAGUAAAGUGGGAUACACCCAUACGUGAACCAUAAAGAACAUUCAAAACGUGUUGAAGACGUAUUGUAUUUGGGAGAUGGGUCCAGUCGCAACGCUGUUAUUUAAUGUGGCUCUCCUACUGCAACUUAGUUCUUCCUAUGCUAAUUCUGUAAACCAACCCUCCGCGUCGCUUGAUGUGUCUGUAGGUGGAAAGGUAACAAUACCGUGCACUUAUUCCACUAGCAGCUCGGAUCCGGAUCUUUACUGGUACCGCCAGAUGCCAGACGGGGAGAUCCAGUUUAUCCUCUACAGAGAUAACAGCAGAAAGAAAGAAGCGGAAUUUGCUAAGGAGAGAUUUUCCGCACCGCAAGCUAGCACGAGUAAGACAUUCCCCCUGACCAUAUCGGGGGCUCUCUUCAGUGACUCGGCUCUGUAUUUCUGCACACUCCGACGCACAGUGAUUCAGGAUCAUGAAGCCUUCGAACAAGAACUACAGGGGCGAGGUGUCAGUCGAUAUGUAUUGCCUUCUCACUGUCGAAAUAGGUGUUCGUAAAAAUAAGGUUUAACUGUAUUUCUUUAUUCUUUAUAUGGUUCUUUAACCUUGUUCAAAUAAAGAAACCGCUACUAAG